rnacentral:misc_RNA from 1 species
CCGAGUUUACAACUCCCAAACCCCUGUGAACAUACCUAUCGUUGCUUCGGCGGGAUCGCCCCGGUGCCCCCGGGCCCGGACCCAGGCGCCCGCCGGAGGACCCAAACUCUUGUUUCUAUGAGUAUCUUCUGAGUAAACAAGCAAAUAAAUUA